AUUGUGCCAGCAGUUGCGGUUAGACAAUUAUUAUGAAUUAAUAAUUUUAAUUAAAUUAAUUAUAAAAUUUAUUAAUUUAGAUUUAGAAAUUUUUGGUGAAAUAUAAUUUAAAAUUAAAAUUAAUUUUUAUAAUAAAUGAAAAUUAUUUAAUUAAAUUAUUAAACUAGAAUUAGAUACUCUAUUAUAUUAAUUAUUAAAAAUAAUUAAGAAUUAAGUAAUUAAUUGUAUAAAUCACUAAAUUUAAAAAAUUUGGCGGUAUUUUAUCCUAUUUAGAGGAAUUUGUUCUAUAAUUGAUAUUACACGAUUGGAAAGACUUAAAAUUAAAAUUUAUAUAUUGUUGUUUAAAAAAUUUUAAAAAAAAUAUUUUUAAAAAAAAAAUUAAUUCAAAUCAAAAUGUAGUUAAUUUAAGAAGAAAUGAAUUACAAUAAUUUAAAAAUUAUAAUGAAUUAAAUAAUUUAAAUUAUUUAUGAAGGUGGAUUUAAAGGUAAAUUUAUUAAAAUAAUUAAUUUGAUUUUAGUUUAAAAUAUGUACAUAUUGCCCGUCAUUUUCAUUUAAAAUGAAACAAGUCGUACAAAGUAAUAUACUGGAAAGUAUAUUUAGAAAUUAUAUAUAUAUAUAUAUAUA
rnacentral:rRNA from 1 species